GGGCAAGAAAAAAAAAAAAAAAAAAAAAAAAAAAACCCAGAGGAUUUCUGUAGUUCUUGUGGUUAAGUAGAACAGGCAUUGGAAAGUGACUCCCAUGCUGUCAGCAGGGCAGCACUUGCCAGAGUGCUUAAAGAGCCUGAAACAGUUGCCUGAACCUCACUGCUCCGUAGGCUCUUGGAAAAUUGCUCGCUGGGAGGCUCCGGGGCAGCUAAGACCCUGUAAGGCAGCUCACACCCAGCCCUCUCAAGAAGGAAGGGUUGUCCCAGGCUAGGCCAGGAGCAAUUUCUGCCUGCUGAGAGGAGGCAGCAAGCCUUGCACCUUUGGGCUCCUCCUGAAAAUUCUCAGUUUCCUGUUUGCCGCCAGUUAAUAUGCAGUCAGAUCCCCAUCCCUGGACAGAAGGGUGGGAAGCAAGUGCCCGGAUGGCAGUGCUGUCCCCUGGGCUGCGUGCAGCUGGGUCCAGGGCUGAGUUUGGAGAAAGGCCAGCACUUUCAUUGGCUGACCUUUGCUGUCACCCCUGGCAGAGAGUUUCAUCAGCAUCAACUGCCCACAAGGCCAAAUCCCAAGGGAGAUGCUGUGCUCUCUGCCCCCUCCAACCACUCACUGGGGAUGGGGGUUUUGGGUGCCACCAAAGGAGUGGUGGGGCUUACCAGAAACCUGCCCCUCCGUCCCAUCCCCUGGCAGCAUCCCCCUGUAUGAUACAGAUGCUACAGAAAUGAAUGCUCCUCGCAGGGAUGCACUGCCUGAGGCUGGAGGGGCAGCAAGCACUGCAUCCAUCUCCAGUGUGGGUGCCAGGACCAGUCCAGGUGCGGGAUGCCAUCCCAACAGCCUGGAAUGACCUAGAGAGUGACCCACCUGAAGGAUAGCCCAGCAACCCCCUGCUGGGGUUGCAAAAGCCACCACUGUGGCCUUGGUAGAGGGAAGUGGUACCUCAGUGUGCUGGAGGAGAACCCCAAAUAUGUCAGUGAAAGAGUGGCAUUAAGAAUAAGGCAUGCUGACCUACUUCAUUUGGGUUUCUAAAAUGCUCCUGAGAGGUAACAGGGAGGGCUCCCUGGGGCAGCACACUGACACUCCCAGCCCUGCCUCUGCUCCCCACAGCUGGCAGGAUCCCCGGUGUCUUCACCCCAGAAAGAGAGCCCUAAGGGCAAGGAGUCUGCUGCAGCACCAAGAUGUAGUGGGCGAAGUGGUGUGGGAGCAACCCCUCUCCUGGACCUGAGUCCUCUGAUAGCCAAGUUCAACCGGGAGAUGCUGCAGGCAGAGACCUGGGUGCGAGGCAAGCUGCGGGACCUGAAGGACGGCUGUGACCUCCAGGAUUGUGAGGAGGUGGCUCAGACCUUGCAGCGGGACAUGAAGGAUUUUGAGAACACACUGAUAAAGCUCAAUCAGAUGGGUGAGCAGCUGAUGUGGAGGGCAAGCCCCAGUGCUGAGGCCAUGCAGAGGCAGCUGCAGGCCCUGCAGGACCUGUGGCAGCUCCUGAAGCAGACGGCUGCCAGCCAGAGCAAAGCCCUCCGGGGGCUGUGGGGUCUGCAGGACUUUAACAGGAAAGCUGAGCGGCUGGAGGCGUGGAUCAAGGACAAGGAGGAGAAGCCGUCUCUGGCAGCCCUCCUGCAGGAAAGCCCGGAUAAGAUCCAGCUCACUCGCCGCAUCCUUGACUUGAAGCAGGAGGAGCAGCAGUUCCAGAGUCUGCACAAGGAGCUGAACAGCCUGGCCCAGAAGCUGGAGAAAGAAGGCAAAAAUGAGAGCAGAAACAUCUCAGCCCGGCGCAAGCACCUCAACAGAGCGUGGCUUCGGCUGCAGGGGACCCUGAAGGAGCACCACGAGUCUCUGCAGCUGGCCCUGGAGGUGGCCUCCUUCCUCCAGCAAGCAGAUAUCCUGCUGGGGAUCAUCCAUGCAAAGCAGAGCAGCAUCUGCAGUACAGGGAAGCCAGGGGAGGGUGAGCCAUGCCAGGAUCGGGAUAUCAGGGACAUAGCCAGCCAGGUGAUGAUGCUGGAUGUGACAGUGUCCCAGCUCCUAAACUUACAGCCCAGCCUGGCAGCCCAAGUCACCUCAAAGCACCGAGACGUAAAGGAGAGCUGGGCACAGCUUCAACAGGCACUGAGAACAGGGAAGGCUCCAGCACGGGCAGGCAGUUCCCCAGGGAGCAAAGCUGCAGCUCCAAAUGUUGAGCCCCAAGGAGAUGAUAGCAGUCGUGGGGCUGUGGGUAAGGAAGCAGCAGCCAAGUGGACAAGAGGACUCGGCAGCAUGGUACCAAAAGAUGUGCUGGAGAAGAUGGCAGAGCACAAGAAAGGAGAGGAGAGCAACCCUGGCUCCCCAGCAGUGGGACAGGCCCCUCAUGGAGGGGACAACAAAAGGAGGAGAGAGGCAGAGGCUGACUGGGGGCUGCAGCAGCUGGAUACCCAAGUGCAGGAUGUCUGCCAGACUCUGUCCCCAUACAAGGAGAGUAUGGGUAUUGGAGUCCCCUCAUGUCCAGUGGCAAGCCUGGAGGCAGCAAGGAUGCAGCAAGAGCCCCUGUCUCCCAGCUCCAGUACCAGGGCUGUGCUCCUGGAGGAACCAGCACGAGGAAGGCCUCCCAGGAGCCCUCGGGUGGAGGCCAUGCUGCGGGAACUGGGAGAGUUAUGGGAGGACCUGCAGAGGAGGCAUCAGGAGAAUGGCAUAGUGCUGCAAGAAAUCGAUAAGGCACUGAGGCUGGUGGGAGAGCUGGACCAAGCUGAGCGGUGGCUGCAAGACGUGGCUGGGUCACUCUUGGAACCAGCCGCCAUGAGAAGCCCGGCAGAGCUGCGCCGGGACCUGGAAGAACUGAGCCAGCUGGAGAAGCAGCUCCUGCUCUGUGGCCUCAAGCUGCAGGCACUGCGGGAAGAAGCAGCAGGCGAGUCGCCCACUGAGCACGAGGGGGCAAGGAAGAUGCAGAGGAAAGUGGAGAUGAUGGAGGAGAAGUUGGCACAUGUGCAGGCGACCCUACGGCACAGGGCAGCAGAUCUGUGUGACUCCCUGGUGCUGUCUGAGUUCCUGCAGGACCUGCAAGAGGAGGAGGCACGGAGCCAGCAGGGAUCUGCAGUGGCAGGCAGUGGGCGUUGUGGCUCGCAGGGGUGUUUUCCCCUGCUCUCAGCCCAGACUGAGAAGUCUCCAAGCAGUGAGGACAUGAGGCGCCCCUUGGGAGAGCUGCAGGAGGCCGUGGAGAUGCUGAAUGACGCAGCGAAGGAGCGGGAGAGGGUCAUGGAGGUGGCAGUGGAGACGGAGAGCCUGGAGCGUCUGGUAGGGAAUGGAGGCUGGGAGCCUGGGGAUGCAACCAGUGCUUCAUCUGCAGCUGGACAUGCUGGCUCACUGGGACUGGGGGUGCACUUCAGCUGUCCUCAGUGGGACACAAGGACAUUUGGAUUCAUGGGGAUCACUCUGUGUGAGGCUGGUAUCCUUGUCUCUCCCAUGGCUGGCACCUGCCCUUUUGCAGCUGCAUGGCAGGGUGUCCCCAGGCCAGGGUGGGCUGGGGCUGUGUGGCAGGUGGUAGCACAGGGGCUUCCACCCCGGGGCUAAUCUCCCUCCAUGUCUCCUCCUGUCUAUCCAGGUGGCGAAGAUAUCCCCACAGCUGGAGGCCCUUCAGUGCAGAGCCAAGGCUCUGUCUCAGGACAUUGCCCUAGCAGAGAAGAGCUUCACCACGGUGAAGAGUGAGAAGGACCUGCAAGGGCUGCAGGACUUGCUAAGCUGCCAGCAGGAGAUGGAGGUGAGUCAGGGGAGCACUGCCAGGGAGGUGCCCCAGCUGGCUGGGGCUGUCCCAGUGAGGCACUGACCCCGAUCCAGGGACCCAGGUGUUGUAAGCUUUGGCACACUGUGGCAAGGCGGGCUGGAAUUUUCCAGUGGAGCUGAGACUUGCCUGCUCUGAUCCCCUCUGAUAGCACGGGCCAGGCAAGGGGAGAGAGCUUGCAUCAGCUCCCAUGUGCCAACACCCAGCUGCCAGCACCUCACUUGUCUUCCCUCUGGUGGGGAAGCGACUCAUGCACACAGGGCAGGGAAGCCAGGCAGUUCUGUGCUCUUCCUGUGCUCCCCACGGAGGCUAGCUCUGCCCGCUCUCUGCAGCCCAUGUACCAGCAUCCUCUCCUCUGUCCCUGCAUCCCAGAAUGCAGGGGAAUCCAGCCUGGGUUCAGAGGGGUUGGAUGCAUC
rnacentral:lncRNA from 1 species